rnacentral:rRNA from 1 species
CCUACGGGAGGCAGCAGUGAGGAAUAUUGGUCAAUGGGCUUACGCCUGAACCAGCCAAGUCGCGUGAGGGAAGACUGCCCUAUGGGUUGUAAACCUCUUUUGUCAGGGAGCAACGCCGGCUACGUGUAGCCGGACUGAGAGUACCUGAAGAAAAAGCAUCGGCUAACUCCGUGCCAGCAGCCGCGGUAAUACGGAGGAUGCGAGCGUUAUCGGGAUUUAUUGGGGUAAAAGGGUGCUGAGGCGGAAUGCCAAGUCAGCGGUAAAAUCGCGGGGCUCAACCUCGCUCCGCUGUUGAAACUGGGGUUCUUGAGUGGGCGAGAAGUAGGGGGAAUGCGUGGUGUAGCGGUGAAAUGCAUAGAUAUCACGCAGAACUCCGAUUGCGAAGGCAGCAUACCGGCGCCCAACUGACGCUGAAGCACGAAAGCGUGGGGAUCGAACAGGAUUAGAUACCCCUGUAGUC